rnacentral:tRNA from 1 species
GGGCGAGUGGUGGAAUGGUAGACACGCAGUCUUGAGGGGACUGUGCCGCAAGGUGUGAGAGUUCAAGUCUCUUCUCGCCCA